rnacentral:rRNA from 1 species
GAUGAACGCUGGCGGCGUGCCUAAUACAUGCAAGUCGAACGCUGAAGGAGGAGCUUGCUCUUCUGGAUGAGUUGCGAACGGGUGAGUAACGCGUAGGUAACCUGCCUGGUAGCGGGGGAUAACUAUUGGAAACGAUAGCUAAUACCGCAUGACAACAGUUAUUGCAUGAUAACUGUUUAAAAGGGGCAACUGCUCCACUACCAGAUGGACCUGCGUUGUAUUAGCUAGUUGGUGAGGUAACGGCUCACCAAGGCGACGAUACAUAGCCGACCUGAGAGGGUGAUCGGCCACACUGGGACUGAGACACGGCCCAGACUCCUACGGGAGGCAGCAGUAGGGAAUCUUCAGCAAUGGACGGAAGUCUGACCGAGCAACGCCGCGUGAGGGAAGAAGGUUGUCGGAUCGUAAAGCUCUGUUGUAAGAGAAGAACGAGUGUGAGAGUGGAAAGUUCACACUGUGACGGUAUCUUACCAGAAAGGGACGGCUAACUACGUG